rnacentral:rRNA from 1 species
UACGUAGGGGGCUAGCGUUGUCCGGAAUCAUUGGGCGUAAAGCGCGUGUAGGCGGCCAGGUAGGUCCGAUGUGAAAACUGGAGGCUCAACCUCCAGCUGUCAUUGGAAACCAUCUGGCUAGAGUCCGGAAGAGGAGAGUGGAAUUCCUGGUGUAGCGGUGAAAUGCGCAGAUAUCAGGAAGAACACCGAUGGCGAAGGCAGCUCUCUGGGACGGUACUGACGCUGAGACGCGAAAGCGUGGGGAGCGAACAGG